rnacentral:rRNA from 1 species
GUGAGGAAUAUUGCGCAAUGCCCGAAAGGGUGACGCAGCGACGCCGCGUGGAGGAUGAAGGCCCUAUGGGUCGUAAACUCCUUUUAUGAGGGAAGAACGGAUUGCUAUAGGCAGUCGUGACGGUACCUCAAGAAAAAGCAUCGGCUAACUACGUGCCAGCAGCCGCGGUAAUACGUAGGAUGCGAGCGUUGUCCGGAUUCACUGGGUGUAAAGGGAGCGCAGGCGGGUCAGCAAGUCAUUGGUGAAAUUCUCGGGCUCAACCCGGGGACUGCCACUGAUACUACUGAUCUUGAGUAUGGAAGAGGUUGGUGGAAUUCAUGGUGUAGCGGUGAAAUGCGUAGAUAUCAUGAAGAACACCGAUGGCGAAGGCAGCCAACUGGUCCAUCACUGACGCUCAUGCUCGAAAGCGUGGGGAUCAAACAGGAUUAGAAACCCGGGUAGUCC